UAACGCGUAGGUGACCUGCCCGGAAGUGGGGAAUAACUGCCCGAAAGGGUGGCUAAUACCGCAUGUGGUCGGCGAAUCAGAUCGCCGUCCAAAGCCGCAAGGCGCUUCCGGAGGGGCCUGCGUCCGAUUAGCUAGUUGGCGGGGUAACGGCUCACCAAGGCGACGAUCGGUAGCUGGUCUGAGAGGAUGAUCAGCCAGACUGGGACUGAGAACGGCCCAGACUCCUACGGGAGGCAGCAGUCGGGAAUUUUGCCCAAUGGACGAAAGUCUGAGGCAGCAACUCCGCGUGAGGGAUGAAGGCCUUCGGGUCGUAAACCUCUUUUCCCAGGGAAGAUCCAAGACGGUACCUGGGGAAUAAGCCACGGCUAACUACGUGCCAGCAGCCGCGGUAAUACGUAGGUGGCGAGCGUUGUCCGGAUUUACUGGGCGUAAAGCGCGCGCAGGCGGCCGUCCAAGUCCGAUGUGAAAGCUUCCGGCUUAACUGGAAAACGGCAUCGGAUACUGGUCGGCUGGAAGGUGGGAGAGGGUAGCGGAAUUCCCGGUGUAGUGGUGAAAUGCGUAGAUAUCGGGAGGAACACCAGUGGCGAAAGCGGCUACCUGGCCCACUCUUGACGCUGAGGCGCGAAAGCUAGGGGAGCGAACGGGAUUAGAUACCCCGGUAGUCCUAGCCGUAAACGAUGAACACUAGGCGUUGUCGGUAUCGACCCCGGCAGUGCCGAAGCUAACGCAUUAAGUGUUCCGCCUGGGGAGUACGGCCGCAAGGCUA
rnacentral:rRNA from 1 species